rnacentral:lncRNA from 1 species
AACAGACUAGUGAGUAUGAUCCAAUCCUCACAAGAGGAUACCCUAUCUACCAGGGUCAAUGUGCCUCUGCUGCACAAUACCAAAUGCAUAAUCAAUGCCUCAAAUGCACUAAUGCCAAAUGCAUAAUGUCUACAACAUGACAAUCGGAAAAAUCUACUAUCCCUAGGUUCAAAUGCCAUAGUGUUCCACUACACUAGAUUUGAUGCCACUCGUUUAUGUCAUGAUGUUAUAUGUGUCUUAAUACACUAAAUCGACAUGCCACUCGUCAAUAUUAUAGUGUCUUUGUUACACUAGUCCAAAUGCCACUCGUCUAGGCUAAUUACAUGUCCAGUUCAUCAUCAUUCUUGUCACUAUAGGAUUUUUGUCACAAAACCCCAUCCUCAUGCAACCUAAGAUCAAGUGUCAAGCCCACAAUGCUACACAACCUAGGUAACAUCAAGGAAUGGAAAUGUAAUCAUCUACUAAUCCUAUAAUGCACAAUAUAUCAACAUAUAGGAAUAUGAUCAAGAUAUAGAACUUAGACAUAAAAGGAAGCUCAGUUGCUUCGGGAU